UGAGGAUUUGUAUUGUUAGUAUGAGUACAUGCGCUUUGGGCUGCUGAACCGUGGGUUUGAGUAUUUGUUGGUUUAGACAUAAUUCUCUCCAAAUCAAAUCAACAUAUUGUUGUGUUUGGUCACUGGAGAUAUUGUACCUAUUUCGGCAUGUUUGUGGCUUUGUACUUGUUAUGUUUUAUCAAUAAAUACUAUUGCUUUUUCUAUAAAUAAAAUAAAAUAAUGUAACACCCCG
rnacentral:lncRNA from 1 species